CUAGCUGUAAACGAUGGAUACUAGGCGUUGAGAGUAUCGACCCUCUCAGUGUCGUAGCUGACGCGUUAAGUAUCCCGCCUGGGGAGUACGCGCGCAAGCGUGAAACUCAAAGGAAUUGACGGGGGCCCGCACAAGCGGUGGAGUAUGUGGUUUAAUUCGAUGCAACGCGAAGAACCUUACCAGGGCUUGACAUGUCCGGAACCCUGCCCAAAGGCGGGGGUGCCUACGGGAACCGGAACACAGGUGGUGC
rnacentral:rRNA from 1 species